rnacentral:piRNA from 1 species
GUCUGUGUAGAUAGAAUUGAUGGCUUGAUCU